GAUGAACGCUAGCUACAGGCUUAACACAUGCAAGUCGAGGGACCGGCGCACGGGUGAGUAACACGUAUCCAACCUGCCCUUUACUCGGGGAUAGCCUUUCGCAAGAAAGAUUAAUACCCGAUAUAAAGGAUGGGGAUGCGUUCCAUUCGGUUGUUGGUAAGGUAACGGCCCUCCAAGCCUUCGAUGCAUAGGGGUUCGGAGAGGAAGGUACCCCGCAUGUGAACUGAGACACAGUCCAAAAUCGGAGGGGAGGGAGCAGUAAGGAAGAUUGGGGAAUGGGCGGUAGCCUGAACCAGCCAAGUAGCGGGAAGAAUGAAGGGUUAUGAGUCGUAAACUUCUUGUAUAGAAGAAGAGGUAUUAUAGGAAUAAGGAUCGGCUAACUCCGUGCCAGCAGCCGCGGUAAUAC
rnacentral:rRNA from 1 species